AUUGAUGAAGAUGGUCCAGUUACUGGUUUGUAUUUUCUCCAGCACUCACUCUGCUCCUGUUGAUGAACUCCUCAGUCUGUGGUGUCAGAUUGAUGUUGAACCGACCUGGUUUAAAGAUGUUUGUUCUCUGUUCCUCCUGUUGCCACCACACUGAUACCAAAGUGAAUUUCAGGUUUGGGGAGAGAGCAGUGCCCUCCUGUCAGCUGUGGGAUAAAGACACCUGGAGAAUCUCGUCCUUUAAAACUCACUCAGAGGGUAGAUCUACGAACCAGUAAGAGUCAUUUUUCUUUUUAUUCUGUGUGUUGUUGAUGGCGGCCGUGCCGCUCUUUGGUUGUGUGUUGAAGGUGUUUUAUCAUGGCCGCCACGUCAUGAUUGUUUCUGAUGUCAAAUCAGCUUGAAAUGUGUUUUCUUUAAUCAUGUGUCGUCUGUAUGAUCAUAACUGUUUUUAAACAUGCCGUCUGUCUGGCCAACAUGGCCGCCUGUUACUCUGCGUGUCUAAUUUGACCAUGGCCAUCCAUUACUUCGUCGGUCCGUCCAACAUGGCCGCCUAUGUGUUUGUCUCUGUGUUUUUCUCUGUGUUUCCUCCCUCUCUCUCUCUGAGGAACAGGCAGCUGACCUGUUGGUUGUGUUGGGACGAAUGUUCCUCUCAACACAAUCAGAGCAUUUAGUUGUCUUUUGGUUUGGACACUGAGUUUAUUUAGAGACAAGUUCUUAUUUGUCCUUUAGGCUUAAAUACUCUGGUUCUAGAGUCAGAUGUUGGGUCCUGACUGAUGUGGUGCAGAGUCUGGACUCAGGAGGAUCAGACAGGUUUUAUGUUCAUUGAUUAUUGAUUUUUGACUUCUGUUGGUUUGAGUGUGAGUCAGGAGGGUUUUGUGUUCAGUGUUUAGAUGGAGCUGCAGAAGAUAAUGACGGUAAAGUUUUUGUGAUGUGUUAAAGGUCAGUCUCAGACUGUUGAUUUGUGUACUGAAGGUGUCUCAUCUUGGCUGCUGUGCUCUGACUAUUGAUUAAUGUCUGAUCAGCUUGGAUCAAUAUCUGUUUACUAACUUUUCCUUUUUAGGUCAAUCUACAAUCGGUGAGUUUUUUUAUUAUUAUUUUUUUUUAAUUCUUUAAUUCUGUUGUGUUUGGAGGCUGCUGUUCCUGAUUGUCUGUCUGUGUCGCCCUGAGUAACAAAUCAUAUUCUCCAAACAUAAAGGAACCAGAUGGGUUCAAUUUAUCUUUUGCACAUCCUUCAGCUCUACUCUGGAUUUGUUUGACUGCUUUUUUAAACUGUAAUAUUUGUCACAAACAUAUUUCCAUCAUGUUGUCAGAACUCCAAACGUCUUUAUUGUCACAAAAACUUUGUUGCAUCUGAUUCCCUUUUAACAUCAAUUAAUAAAUAACCUUAAUGACAUAUGAAAAUAAAUAUAAUAUAAAAAUACAUAUGUAAAAACAUGACUGUACAGAACAACAUUUGUAUAUUUCACACAAACUAUAUUACUGCACAUGAGGUUUCCAAGUUUCUCCAUGGCAAGUGUGAAUUAGGGGGUUUCAUUUUCACUGUUUAGAAAUAAAGUAGAUUCUAGAAACCUGUGAAAUGACUUUUAACCACAUGCUGUCUUUUCAUAGACAACUCAUGAUACCUGACCAUAACCCUUAUUCCAGUGAUAAACAGCCUUCAGUCUCCGUCAGCUGUCACUGAUUCCCAAACUGAAACUCUGUCAAACACAGAGAGAAAUAUUUAUUAAUUGGCCCUAAACGUCUGAAUUCUGCUCAGAUCACUGGAGCUGGGUUUCCUUUACGGCUGCUGGUCAGUCCACGUGUUCGUCUGUUAAACAAUAUUAGAUUUACAGAAACUGAGGUUUGCGUCUUUGUUUGUUAUUUUUUUGUUUGUUCUCUCUUGUCUAUCCCUCACCUUGUGUCUUGGCCGCUGUGCCCAUCUCACGAUCUAUCAUUUUCUCGUUCGUCUGACUUUCUAAUCAUCUAAACAUCUAUAUGAUAUUAAUGCCAUUUCUAAAAAUUGUGGGGUUUUAAUGUGGACGACUGUAGGAAUGGCUCUCCCACCUGUUCCUACAGUCCUGAUAGUGUGUAAAAGAUUUGAUGGAACUGCAGUCGAUGAUAGGAAUGGAAAGGUUGUGUAGGUGCGUUCCUGUUGAAGGUGUCUGAACAAAGUGUGAUCUCCUCUGUCUCUUUCUCAUGUUUAUCCACCUUCUGUUCGUCAAUCUUUUGGAUGGUCGCCGUGCCAUCACUUGCAGCAGCACCUGUCUGCCUCUGUUUGUUUGUCUUUGUCGUUGUCUGUGUGUCCGUCGUGCUGUAGUUUUGUGUGGCCACUGUGCCAUAACUGCCUAUUUCUAUUUGUCCGUCCGAGAUGUCCAACAUCCGUUCGACUGUUAGUCUGUAGAGUCAUUUAGUUUUUAAUGGUGAAUCUACAAGUAAAUCCUGUGUUCUUGUUUUUUGUUUUUAUCAUGGCCGCUGUGCCAUCACUUUAUUUCCUCUGUCUCUCACACAAACACACACACAUGCACACACACUGAUCCUUACAGUCUGUCCACUGUCUUUUUCAUUCAGCCUGUUGUUGUGUAUUGAAGAUGUGUCUGUGUGUCUUUGUCUCUCUGUCUCUUUGUGUGUCUGUGUCUGACUGACUGAUGUUCAGGUUAGCUAGCCAAACAAAUACAGAAAAUACACUGACAGAUAAUUGGCAAUACAUAACAGUAACACACAAACAUUGUUAAUCCUAUCAAAUAUAAUAUGAUAAGACAUUGAAUAGCUGUUACCUUCAGUUGAACUCAUGACUGUACAGGACAGAAACAUCGUCCAUAAUGUACAAGUCUAGUAGACUAACACGACCUGACUUUCUAUUUCCAUCUCACCUUAGAUCAGCUUUAGUGCAACAACUUUUUUUACAGGUAGAUCAGGAAGUAAGUAUCUCUGCUUUCCUAAGUGGGGUACAAAAGUAGCUGGGUUUUCUUCAGGUUCUUGAAGACCUCUUACCCAAAAGGCUUCUUCGGUUCUGUCCAGUUACCUUCGUACAGCACUUACAAAAACCAGGACCUGGAUGGCUGAAGAUCCUCAAACAAAAUUGUAGGAUGCCAGAGCCAUGUGGUGAUGGAGGUUGCAGUAGGUCCAGCAGUUUCCCAUGGCUCCAGAAAAAUCAACGUUGGAUGACUAGACCCAGAGUGAUCCAGAAUGACCCGGAGAUCCAAGCUGUGUCCUGGAUGGCUGUGUAGAGGAGGAAGGCCAGGCUGUUCCAAACCCUCCCUGACGACGAUGUGCCACAUGACUGUCUUCAGGUGUGUCCUCUCAGAUAUAUUCUCCACAUCUAAUCUUUGCUUGCUUUAUACUAACUGAUGUUUUUCUUUG